AUACUUACCUAGUAGAGGAGUUACCGUGAUCACGCUGGUGAUUUUCCCAGGGCCAGCCUUGUUUCUUGCACGCCGGAUGUGCUGACCCUUGCUAUUUCCCGAAAUGUGGGAAGCUCGACUGCAUAAUUUGUGUUAGUGAGGGACUGCAUUCGCGCUCUCCCCUC